rnacentral:lncRNA from 1 species
CUGAUAGACUAACAUCGUUUUACACUCAGAACAUGUCACCACUCAUGAAAACUUGACACUAUUUUUGUGCUUUAUUAAAGGGAGUGUUUACAUCAUUAGGGGACUCUCGUUUCAACCUUCAGAUUUCCUCUAGGCUGUCAGAUUGGGAUGGUUUCUUUGUCUUCUGGACAUGAUAGCACGCACCUGUAGUCCCAACUACUUGGAAGGCUGAGGUGGCAGGAUUGCCUAAGCCUGGGAGAUCAAGGCUGCAGUGAGUCAUGAUCGCACCACUGCACAGCAGCCUGGGCGACAGGAGUGAGACCUUUUCUCAAAAAAGAAAACUGUGACCUUAACUCUACAUAUUAUCUUGUA